rnacentral:rRNA from 1 species
CCUACGGGGGGCUGUAGUGGGGAAUAUUGGACAAUGGGCGAAAGCCUGAUCCAGCCAUGCCGCGUGUGUGAAGAAGGCCUUCGGGUUGUAAAGCACUUUCAGUGGGGAAGAAAGCCUUGGGGCUAAUACCCUCGAGGAAGGACAUCACCCACAGAAGAAGCACCGGCUAACUCCGUGCCAGCAGCCGCGGUAAUACGGAGGGUGCGAGCGUUAAUCGGAAUUACUGGGCGUAAAGCGCGCGUAGGCGGUCUGAUAAGCCGGUUGUGAAAGCCCCGGGCUCAACCUGGGAACGGCAUCCGGAACUGUCAGGCUAGAGUGCAGGAGAGGAAGGUAGAAUUCCCGGUGUAGCGGUGAAAUGCGUAGAGAUCGGGAGGAAUACCAGUGGCGAAGGCGGCCUUCUGGACUGACACUGACGCUGAGGUGCGAAAGCGUGGGUAGCAAACAGGAUUAGAUACCCGUGUAGUC